UGCACCCCCCCACUGCACCCCCGGCGGGUUAAGGCAGAAAGCUGAGGGGGCAGCGCUCGGGUCCCUGCUCCAGCCACGUCUUGCACGCUGCUUUGGUACAGCUCCUUUUGCAGCUUCUCGGUGCCUCCUUUGUGUCUCUGCAUCAGUCUCUGUGGAUCAGGGUGUGUUUUCCCGUCCAGUUCUGACCAUUUCCAUGGGAUCUGAAUAGGCUCUGUGUGCUGCAGUAACUGCAGAGUUAACGCGCUUCCUUGUGCUGGUGGCUGGUGUGAGCUUGGUGCUGAAUGGAGUCCAAGACAGUCGCAGGCUUGUUAAACUCCUUUGUAGCUGUUCAUUAGCUCCCUGGUUUCUCCUGCUACUUGCAGGACGUUUCCCAGAGUGGAGGGUAGUGUCUUCCCUUUGGAAUAAGCCAUCGGGGCCUCGACAUGAUUGGCCUGGUUUCGAGCUUUUGUGUUUUCCAAUCAGUUCCCCCUCCUACGAUUGUGCCUUUGUUCCUCAGUCUAACUCCCCGCUUCCCUCCGAGGGCAGAGCUCCAGCCUCCCGUAGCAGGGACCCAGGAGGAGUGAGGCUCUGCCCAUCCCGGCUGGCACGAGGAGCUGAGCCGUCGCCGCUCCGGCUCUGCCCGCCAGCGCUGCCCCCACCCCAGUGCUCAGCCUCCCCUUGUGCAGAUCCCAACUGCUGGGGGUGGCAGCGCUGUGGGAAAUGGACGUGAGUGCUGGAGCUUGCCAAGGGUGACGAGGCCUCGCAGGGUCACGUCGCCUGGAGGGUCUGUGCCGUCACCGGUGCUGCCCGGCCAAAGGGCUGGGGUGCGAGAAGGUGGCAGCCGCAGCCAAAUAAGAAGGUGUCUUGUCCUUCAAACGAACCCUUCGGUGAGGCCAGGCUCCUCCAGAGCUCCUCAGGGCUCUCCAGACUUGUGCUGCCACCCCUUCAGAAUGGGUUGUUAGUUUAGGCCUCCUCUUAUCCUCUUUUAUUUACAGGUCUUUUAAAUGGGAUUUAAUCCAAACCUAGGACGGGAAAGGCAGACUGUUUGCUCCUCAGUCAGCCUGAGGAUCAUCAGCUGUGGGCAGCUUAUCGGCAUACUGUGACAGAGGCUGCAGCAGGCUUGCCCUGCUCACCCCUGCCAGGAAAGUUGCUGUGGGUGUGCCUGGAAGCUGUUCAGGUGGAAAGAAAGGGACAUGGUGCUUGUGGCCUCCGUCAGGUGUCAGGCUGGGCAACAUAGCAUAAAGCUGCACAUGCCCCCACUUGGAGGAGCCCUUCUGGGUCUGCCUGAGGCUGCAGAGGUGGAAGAGGGACCCUAUUAAGAUGCUAGUCUUCUCCUCCAGCACAGCAAACCAGAGUAAUUGGUUAAUAGGCAGCCAAGCCUCUGUGGCAUCUGAUUGUAUUAAAGAAUCACAUAAAUGGGAGAAAGCUGCUGUUAACUCCCUGCAUCCCAGUCUGCUGAGCCCUCCAGCCCCUUGCUGGGGGGAUGCAGUGCCAUUUGUGGCUGUCUCUGCUGACUUUAGGUGGUUUGCUGAUGCUCUUAAUGUUUCUCAUCUGACAUCUGUCUGCACAACAGGGGUGUGUGCUCCGAAGCUGAACUUCCUGGAGAGCUGGAGGUGUUAAAGAUGGACUGUUCCUACUGUGCUGUGCUUAGUCAGCCUCAUUUGUGCUGGUGGAGUUAAAUAAGCAGCCGUCAUCCCACCCUGGAUGCGUAUCAGCUCUCAGACCUUUGUGUAACUGAGAUCCUCUGCCAGGGAGGCACAGCUCCGCUGCGCUGCCCAGACCUGAGCAGGCUGGCGCUGGCUCUUUUCUUAAGAGACAAGAGUGAAGCUCUGGCUGCCAAGAGCUCUUCUCCUUCAGUUGUUACAACAGACAAACAAGAAGUUAAAAAUUAAUUUACUAAUGGGCUCUCAUUUGUCCGAGCAGUUGUUGUGUGCCAAGGCAGCGCUUCACCUUGCUGUGACCACAGUUUGUGCUACUGCCGGUGCCGCGGCCAUGUGCGGCCUGAGCAAACAAAAGCAGCUUGGCCAUCCUCGCCAGUUGGGUGAGUGUCACUGCCAGGACUUGGUCUUGGGGGUGCUCCGUGCAGACUGGGCUUCCAGAGGGCAGAGCUGAGUGGGUGCAGGUCACUGACACUGUUCAACCUGUGGAACCCCCUUUGCAAGGGGAAGAGCUUCCCAGGUUCUGAAUUGAUGGUACAAGUUGGUUUGGGGGACCUGGCACUGGAUCACAAGUGACAUGGCUGUAGAACAUUAAGCUUUGAUAUAGUGUGCCUUGGCUUAAACUUGGUUAAAAGACUGGCAAACAUGCAGACUUUAUGCUGAAGCAGAUAUUAUCUGUCUUUCUAACUCAUCUGCUGGCUGUUACCCGCUCUAAAGUGGGCAUAAUUUUCUUGUGAACUCAUGAGCUGGGUUGAGGGCCAGCUCACAUCUCUUCUGCUGGGCAAUAACCUGUUAGCAGGCAGACCUGGGAGUCCGGCCAUGCCUUCAGCCUCCCUACAGCCAGCUUAAGGGUUUCCAAACAAACCUUUUAGCCAGCCAGGCUCCUGUCCCUCCUGCCAGCCUCCUGCAGGGUUGGGUGCUGCCAGUCCGCUGUGCAGCUCCCAGCACGGGGCCAUGCUGCAGUGGGCAAGCGGGGAGGCAGGAACACUGGCUACGGAGCUGGUGGAGGCAGUCACCCCUGUGUUUCCUCAGAGGGCUCCUUUCUGGGUUUUCGGGCACCAUGGUGCUGUUAGGUCAGCUCGAGCCAGCCUGCGGUGGACUAUUUAAAGUGCAACACAAAUGGUCCUUGCCAUUUUGCAGGCAGACCCCUGCAUCUCUGCCCUCCUGAGAGCUUUGCUCCUGGUUAGCAGUGGCCAUUUGAUGAAAGGCUUUGCCUGCCCUGCCCAGAGUUAAGUACAGUCUUACUCUGUUUUUAGCCAGCUUUGAAGCUGGGGUCUGCUCCCUCCCACAGAGAAGCUCCCAGCUGCCUUGCUCUUUGCAGUGGUACCUCUGCUUGCCUGGGGGCUGGUGCACAGUUGCUAUUCAUGCCUACACCUAAUCCAGCCUGGUCGGGGAAGCAGGACGCCUGGAUGCUGUCCUACACAGUGCUUGAUUUGGAAAAAGCUUGCAAUGGCUGUGGCUGCUGCUCUGGUGUUUGCUGCAAACAUUGAGUACCGCUGGGAAACAGCAGUAGCAUGCACCGUGGUCCCGGGAGGAUCACGGGCAGCAGGGAGAGGGACCCUGCAGGAAGAAGGAGAAGGGCCUGCAGGGUAGGGCAUGAAGCACACCUUCAGCAGGGAGCCCAAGAUCACACAAGAAACAAAGCAGUAAUUAGAGCUUCAGUUUCCUCUUCUUUGUUGAUGUCUUGAUAUGAUCUUUCUUAGGAAAUGCUGUGCCUACAGAGGAGAGCAGUCAGGGACUCCGUGUGAAACCUGAGACUUGCUUCUUGGAGAAUAGGAUCUCUUUCCCAAAAGUCCCAAGUCCAGCUGGACUUCCAGGGCCAUUGCCCUCUAGGGAGGGUGGGAAGGAGGCUGUGCUGCCGGGAAUGGCUGUGGUCCAGCAUGCUCCUAGGCUUUUAGAUAGAUGUCUGGUGCUCAGCAGGGUGGAGAAUGUUUCUUUCUCGAAGCUGAGCUGGGGGAGCAGGGUGGUGGGCUGAACAUGGCAGGGGGAGGAUUGGGGAGCAUGGAGGGAACCAGUCUUGCCAGCUCCGCUGGCCCUUGGUGCAUCCCGCCUGGCUGUGGAUUCCCCUGGGGUUGUCUCCCUGCUAUUUGGGGAGUGGGGCAAAAGAAGCAUGUGCCUGUGAGCCCUCACGGACCGUAGCUGCUGUCAAAACCUAAAGCAGCCCCAAAGCUUGAAACCUAAAGCAGCCCCAGCCUGUCAGCCCCAGGACUAGGAAACCACAUCGGAGUGCCCACCUUCAGUCUGAAUGAAUUCUGUGUGCCCUGGGGUCUGCCCUGGGCUUGGAAAUUUGAGUUUCUAAGCUUUUCACAUGCCUGAUGCUCUGCUUGUCAUUCUGCAGGUGACCAUUUUCUCUGGGUUGACAUAAAUGAUCAGAAGGAGCCAUCCAUCUUCCUGGAGGCGAUGAGUACUGCGAGCUGACAGCUCAGGGAUGUUGCGGCAUCUCUCGGCUCUGAUGACCUUGUGCGGUGCAUGCCAAUGCAGCCUCUGUGCUCCUGCCUGGGCUGUGGUGACCCUGUGCUUGUGCUCUGAGGUCUCAGGUCACCUCCUGACAGCAGGGGUUGAUUUUUUUGCUAUCUCUUCUUUCAUGCUCUAGUGACCGCUACAGCGGUCACUCCCCUGUGCCGGUGGCCAUGGGACCAGAGCCUGUCCCCAGGAAGUGGCUUCUCAGUCCCACCCAACGGUGGCUCCUUCAUCCAUCUACAGGGUUGUGCUGGGGGAGUUGUCCAACAGCCCUGGGCUCUGACAUCAGCUCCCUGUUGCCUGUCUUUAGAAAGAUUUUUGGACGCUUAAAAAGUAAGUGUCUGAAGCAGUGUGGUGGGUUGGUUGGGAGCCAGCUCACAGUGAUGGAGCUGGGGCCUCAGGGUGUGCAGGAUGGCAGGGAGAAGGUGAGUUGAACCAGGAUGGAGGACUGGCCAGUCCCCAAAGGUGGAGUCAGCACCAAAGGCAGAUGGUGCUGUGACUGCGAGCAAAGGGGAAUGGUUUCUACCAUCAUACUCACAGCCAAGAAGUUUAAAAUACAGUAAUGAUUUAUUGGAAUAUUGGCCCAUUGAGAAGUAAAUGUAAAGAAGCAAUGAAUGAGCAGGUUGUGAAAGGAUGGCCUGUUGAAACUGGACAGUUCCAGUAACGUUAGGGACAAAUUACUCCAUCCCAUCCACAGCAUUAUCUGCAGUGCUGUUUGCACAGGGCUGUUUACCCACCCUACGGAGGCACAUUUCAUGUUUGUCGUUCUGUGUAUCCCUGCCGGGGGGAUCAGACUUUCACCAGCCUGGCCACAGCACCCUCCCAUGAUGAAAGCAGCCACGUGUGUAUUUACUGAUAGACAUGCUGAACCCCCAUGCCCCCCACUGGCCUUGCCCUUACUAGAUAGGAGACGGGGGCCCUAGCCCCAGCGCAGGGGAUGGACACCCUCUGAGAUGGGCUGACCUUUCGCAGGACAUGUCUCUUCCCUUCAAACCAAAAUGCGGGUGAUCUUCUGGCAGUCUGGUUUGGGGCAGGCAGCCCUUCCCUAUCUCAGCACCGUAUGAGACGUUUCUCCGUGGAGGAGCCCGCAUGAUGGUUUUCCCCAAGGACAGGGCUGUGCAUGGCAGGAGGUGCCCAGGACCACCGCGCUAGCCCUGCUGAAGGCCAGCGCUCCCCAAGAGCACCAGCCCCAGCAGAGCACCUGCCUGUGCCUGAGCCAGGCUCUCCCUGGAGCCCGCAGCCCGUUUCACAAGAGCCGUGGUGGGAUGGUGCGGGGAGGGUGGAGCCCGUUAAACCCGUUUCACCACUGCAGGCAGGGCAGGAUUUCUCCACUGCUGCCUUUAGCUGGGUGAUGUUAAUGGAUGGCUCAAGAGCAGCGUGGAUGGCUGCCAAGAGAGAGUCGAUCCCUUGGCGGCAGAGGGGUCUGUGCUGUUGAUGGGGCAGCACCUGGGCUGCAGAGAGCUGUCAUGAGCUGGUGGUGGGUGUUUCUGCCUCCAUGAUUUGUAGCACCCUGCUGGUCUUCAAACAGCUUUUUGGGUUUUUUUUAUUUCUCCAGCUCUGAAAGCUAUCUUGGCUAAUGGGGAAGGGCACCAAGUCUCCUGGUGAGGGUAGGAACUGUAAGCACAGCAUCCUGGAGGCAGGCAGGAUUGCCUGCGGUGGCCUCAGUGUGUGGUCCCUGGCAUGGGUCUGGGCUGCUCGGCUGACCCUGUACACCUGCACCUUCUGCAAGUGGCUCGGGUGCCCCCUGAACAGGGUGGAGCGCAGGGCUCAGCUUUAGCUGAUGCUCUGGAGAGGAGUGGGAAGCCUGUUUGUGCCUUCCUGCUGUGCAGCCGGCAGGAGGGACAAGCUUCAGGCAUGAGUCCUGUGAGAGCUCUGCUGCUUUGCUUCCAGGCCCUUAGGAAUUAUUUUCCCUGGCCUGAAAGCAUCCUGUCAAAUCUGAAGUUAAAAGGAGCUUUUUGUAUGGAAAUCAGGUGCUUGUGUAUCUGCAUGUGAAAUUACCCUUAAAAUGGAGAGGCUGAAAUUGCUCUCCAGGUGCUCACUUCUCAUCAGAGCUGCGCGGAGACCUGCUGCUCUGCCUGCAGGAGCAGGAUGCUCAUGCAGGUGUAGUCACUCGAAGGAGUGGCAGAGGGCCAGUGCUGCCUCCUGCCCCUCUGUGGCUCCCAAACAGGGCAGUGGGUGCUCACUCGGGCACUUGCCUCCAGCCAGGGCUUUGCAGGGGGUGACAGUGCCAGCCCCGGCUGUGCAGCCUUAGGUUGUGUCAGCCCCUGGGGGUCUGCUCAUCUUCCCCAUCGUGGCUGCAUCCCCCCGCCCUCAGCACUGUCCUGGACACUGGAGCUGGGGGUUUUUGGACAGGCUGGCCAGGGGGUGGCUGGUGGGGUCCCUGGAAGCUGAUUGUUGAUGGGGUUUGAGGUCAUUAGCUGAGCCUGCGUGCACUGAUGCCGUCAUGUGCUGCGCAAUCAUCACAGGGCAGCACCUUCCCACUGUCCCUAAAAUCCUCCUCUGCUUCCCCCAGCUCUCCCCAGUGGUGCCCACGGGCUGUGGCCGUGUCCUUAAGUAGUGCUGCUGGCUCCUCCGCAAAGGAGAGCUAAAGCUUUUCUGGGAAAACCACACCAAGUGGCUGACAAACAGCUAAUAGCUGAGAGCCUUGGCUCAGCGUCCACGCCACCCCGCUUGCUCUUUCACCUCCUGAGCGCUCGCUGCCGGCUGUUCCUGCUGACUCCAUGGUGUUGCAAGAGCUGAAGCUGCUGGUUAAAGUCCGGGUAAACAGGUUGCAGAGCGCUCAGCAGCCCUGGCGAGGGAGGGGAGUUGAAAGAAGCUGCUGCUCGUGGGCAGUGGGGUGAUGUAUUUGCAUAGAAUAAAUUUUCUGCUGGAAUAUAA